CUGGUGUUUUACCCUGUGUAACUGGUUCGGUUACACCUGGUGUUUUACCCUGUGUAACUGGUUCGGUUACACCUGGUGUUUUACCCUGUGUAACUGGUUCGGUUACACCUGGUGUUUUACCCUGUGUAACUGGUUCGGUUACACCUGAAAAUCCUGUGUUCAUGGAAUGGUUAAUGGAACACUACAAAGUGGAUUGUGACAAAAAUGUGUAACGGGGGUUGAAACACCUAUACAUGGGUUUUAGUUGCUGAGUGUAAAUUCUUAACUUGGCUGUGGUGUAGCUUAAAUACAGUGUGUUCAAUCGGUUUUCAGAUGUGUUUUAAUGUUUAAGCGACUCUCCAGUAAUAAUUGGACAUAUUGAGAGGCUGAAUGAGGAAUUUAGAAGUGAUUUUUGCCCAGCUGAUAUAGAUGAGUCCAUCAAUGCAAUGACGUGACGAACAUAUAGCCUACUAAGAGAGAUGCUACGGGUACAUUUUUAUUGUGUACAUUGUCUUUAGCACCACUUGACCCUUGGUAGUACGUUGUGACCUAUAACCUUUGACCUAUAAUGUGUGAUAAGAUUACACUAGCGAAAAAACAGACUUUUAUUUGUUGGUCCGGUUUCAUUCAAUCAAUAUGCUCUGUCGCCAAGUUUGUCUGAAUAUGACAAUAUUUUAAUGCUAUUUGCUAACAAAUUAUAUACAGUAAACCUAAUAAUCAAUAAGAAAAAAGGUAUUCAAUAUAUAAACCGAUCAUUUAGUUUUUUGGGGGGGAUUGUACGUUUUAUAAGUUGUAGUGCUAUUAUUUUGUAGGAUUUUUUUUUUUUUUUUUACCACAGUUUUCCCCUUUGUCAGCCAACAGUUAUAUUUUUAAGACAUAUAUUUAUAGCCUACUGUUGGUACCAUUAUAUGACUAUAUGAGGUUUUAAGAUGAGGUUGGUUUAGUUUUAUCUGUUGACAAAAUUGUCUGAGAAAAAAAAAAAUGUAUUUCUCUCCCAUGUUCACUGCCUCACCUGUGGACUUUUUUUAUGGCUUUAAAACCUUUACAGGAAACUAUUUUCACUGAGAAGGCAGCUUUUAAGUUGUGGUGUCAUUUUGUGUUGUUUUAAAGUGGAAUAAUUAGGACCCUCUCGCUUUGUGCUUGUUUACCUGAUUUCAUUGGGAAGACAAGAAAUGGAAAAUCCUCUUCCCACACUCGUCUUACUGCCAAGUUGUUUAAACACUCAAAGAGAAAGUGCAUUUACGCACUUAUUAGUCCUCUAAAUAUCAAUAAAUUGUUUAAUUUGAGGGAAACCUGUUUCUGCCCUGGAAAUGAAUUGAACAGAGGGAACUGCUCUGACGACCGCGACUAUUGUGUUUCCAAACAGGAAAUGGUUUAUCACUUUGAAUUGUUGCACAAGAGAAGGGAACCAAACACCUCUUUGCUGAUUGUUAGAGACUGAUGAUCGCCUGUGUGUGUUCUCUUAUACACACCUUUUUUAGGAGCUGUUGGUAAUCUGUUUAGCUAACAGGAGCUGUUCAGAAGUUGUUGCUAAUUAAUAGCAUACCUUUUGAACCCAGUACCUUUUUUUUAACCCCUCCAGGGCCGGGCUCCUCGUGUUAGUCCUACUGCCCUAGCAGGUGAACCCAGUACACAGUGGGGCAGGAAUCACAGGAUCAAUGGAGGAGCCUCCCACUGUGCCCACUGUGUCCGUGUCCUGCUGGUUUUCAACCACCAGCCCAUGUCCUGCUGCUCAGCUGUGUGGAACAGUGGCAGGCUGACACACUAGUGCAGUAUGUGGGAGAAUGGAGCUGGAAUACAGUAGCAGCUCCUUUUCAUUUCAUUGUCCUCUACAAGGUUUGAGUCUUCACAGGCUGGAUUUGCAGCAUGCCCCCAUGUCUUUCACUGCUGUCCUCUACAAUGCUGGUCUGUUUGAGUUGACCACAGCCUGGGGUGUGUCUGUGGCUCCGCCUUGUCCACGGUUCCCUACACAAGCAGAGGUCCUGUCACCGGCUGCCACGCAUAAUGCACCUCUUUGGGUGCAGUUUCUUAACUCGCACAGCAGCUCUACAGUACCACUGCAAGCUGUUGCACUGCUGAGGGAGUCACCUUGACCUGUGACCUUUUCCAAGUGACCUGUCAACAUCUCCCAGAAGAAUGAUUAUUUGUUGCCAUCAUAAUUUAGAUUUCUUCAGUUUAUGAUUUGACUCCCAUGUAUGCAGUGAAUGGAUGGAAGAUCGCCCCCUUGUCAUGAAUAGGAAUAUUGUUUAUUGUCGCUGUGGUUUUAUUGAUUGAAUCUUUUUCCUGAAAGAGGAUCAGGAGUAUGUUUGUUCUGCUACGGUUUCCCACGACGACCGCAGAAUAACAUCCGACAUCAUCUACUUCACAUUUCACGUGAACAAGGGGAAUUUAAGCAGAAAAGAUCAAGUGAGUAGUUUGACUCAACAUUUCCACGUCGUGAAAGGAUCCAUAUAUAUAUAUUUUUAAUAUGUUUUUAUUUUGUGACAGUUCAACCAAAAGGCCUCUUAUCCAAUGAAGAAAUAUUUCAUAUUUAUCCCCUAUAGCUCCUACCCAGUAUGAGUGCAUCACGGCCUCCCCUCAGUACAAGUGCAAUAAUAGCAGAGAUUAAAUCCCACCUGCCGUUGUUGCUGAGAAAAAAGACAUUGCCACUGGAGAAAUGACCUCUAGAGGAUCAUGGAGGAACUGCAGGACCAGAGAAGGCUGCUGUAACUACUGUAAGAGCCAUAGGUAGCCACUACACUACACUGAUGGCAUGGAGAGAGACAGCUUGUUGCUGUCACUCCCUGUUGGGGAAUAAGGAGUCUGCUGCCUGGCCUUUAUUAUAAGUCUGGAAGAAGCAGAGAUCAAAACAGAUGUGACAACAGAUUGCCCCAAGGCUGAGAUGGUAAGUUCCAGAUGAAAAUAUAUUUGUGUAUAAAGGCAGAUGGAGGUGUUGCGGGUUCAAAUCCUGUGGCAGGAUUGUAAAAAAAUGAGGAGCUGAACUGGAAACAAAAUGGCUGCAGGUAAAGACCCGAGACCAUCUGCCGUUAUGCCCAUGUGCAAGGCGCUGCAUUCUGGCUGACCCUGUGCCUUUCUACAUGCGUGUCUGGCAGGGAUGUGAAUGGACAAUAAAGCAUCUAUUCUGUUGUAUUAUAUUCUCUGCUUGUUCCCUGUAGAGUAUCUUGCCGCUGGACCGUCCAAGACACCUCGGACUGUAAGUACUGGGCUUAAUGAAAUACUUUAAAGUGGGGCGGCAGUUAGCCUAGUGUUGGGCCGAUGACCGAAAGAUUGCUGGUUUGAAUACCUGAGCGGACGAGGUGAAAAAUCUGCCGAUGUGCCCUUGACCGAGGCACUUAACACUAAUUUGCUCCAGGGGUGCCAUGCUACUAUGACUAACCCUGUAAAACAACACAUUUCACUGCGCCGAUCCGGUGUAUGUGACAGUAAAACAUGUCGUUUUUAUUUUUAUACUGCAAUUCAGACAAAGUGUUACUCCCUAUAUAAUGAAAUCUUUCCAAACUCAGUGCUGUUGAUUUGAACAAUCCAAAUCCUGUUUACCUCUCUCUUUAAAUUUCCCAAAGAGUAUUUAUUGUAUUUUAAAGCAAUUGAAUUUGAUAUCAUACGAGAUGAAAGAUAAUGUAAAUGUUACUUAUCAUAUUGGUCCGAUAUACAUUUGUUUUUGUAUUACUCAUUAAUUCUUAAUAAAAAGUAAAUUUUUAUGCAA